CCUACGGGUGGCAGCAGUGGGGAAUAUUGGACAAUGGGGGGAACCCUGAUCCAGCCAUGCCGCGUGUGUGAAGAAGGCCCUCGGGUUGGAAAGCACUUUCAGUGAGGAAGAACGCCUGGUGGUUAAUACCCAUCAGGAAAGACAUCACUCACAGAAGAAGCACCGGCUAACUCCGUGCCAGCAGCCGCGGUAAUACGGAGGGUGCGAGCGUUAAUCGGAAUUACUGGGCGUAAAGCGCGCGUAGGUGGCUUGAUAAGCCGGUUGUGAAAGCCCCGGGCUCAACCUGGGAACGGCAUCCGGAACUGUCAAGCUAGAGUGCAGGAGAGGAAGGUAGAAUUCCCGGUGUAGCGGUGAAAUGCGUAGAGAUCGGGAGGAACACCAGUGGCGAAGGCGGCCUUCUGGACUGACACUGACACUGAGGUGCGAAAGCGUGGGUAGCAAACAGGAUUAGAUACCCUUGUAGUC
rnacentral:rRNA from 1 species